rnacentral:rRNA from 1 species
UAGGGAAUCUUUGGCAAUGGGGGGAACCCUGACCGAGCAACGCCGCGUGAGUGAAGAAGGUUUUCGGAUCGUAAAGCUCUGUUGUUAAGGAAGAACGAGUGUGAGAAUGGAAAGUUCAUACUGUGACGGUACUUAACCAGAAAGGGACGGCUAACUACGUACCAGCAGCCGCGGUAAUACGUAGGUCCCGAGCGUUUUUCGGAUUUAUUGGGCGUUAAGCGAGCGCAGGCGGUUAGAUAAGGCUGAAGUUAAAGGCAGUGGCUCAACCAUUGUAGGCUUUGGAAACUGUUUAACUUGAGUGCAGAAGGGGAGAGAGGAAUUCCUUGUGUAGCGGUGAAAGGCGUAGUUAUAUGGAGAAACACCGGUGGCGAAAGCGGCUCUCUGGUCUGUAACUGACGCGGAGGCUCGAAAGCGUGGGGAGCGAACAGG